rnacentral:misc_RNA from 1 species
GAAGUAAAAGUCGUAACAAGUUUCCGUAGGUGAACCUGCGGAAGGAUCAUUAAAAAAUUGGGUGACUGUAAUUUAGUUAACCAUUAAUAAUAUCCUACCCUUUGUGAAUUUGUUUGUUAUGUAAAAUUUUUUGUCUAUCCCUAAAGAAAGGUUGGAUAAGUGUAAUAGCUUAAAAAACUUUUUUUUAGGAAUGGCUUAAAGACUUUUAUUUAAAAUUAAACUUUUUGUAUCAUUUGUCUAAAAUUAAUUUUUAAAUAAAUAAUUAAAAACAACUUUUGACAAUGGAUCUCUUGGUUCUCGCAACGAUGAAGAACGCAGCAAAAUGCGAUAAGUAAUGUGAAUUGCAGAAUACGUGAAUCAUCAAAUCUUCGAACGCAUAUUGCACUUUUUUAGUUUACUAAAAGUAUGUCUGUUGAGUAUCAGAAAAUAUUCUCAUAAAAUCAUUUGUUUUAUGGUUAUGAGUGUUUUACAACGAUAACAAGUUGUUUCACUUUAAAUGAUUUUAAUUGAAAUCGUCGGUUGGAACGAUUUUAAUUUUUUAAAAAAUUGGAUAAAAUUUUCCCGUAAAAAGGAAUAAAGCUAUUUCAGUUUUUAGAAAUUUUAAUAGUUCCAUACCGUACAGUUAAAGGAAUUUAUUUAUAAAUAACUUGAUCUCAAAUCAGAUAAGAGUACCCGCUGAACUUAAGCAUAUCAAUAAGCCGGAGGAAAAGAAACUAACAAGGAUUCCUUAGUAACGGCGAGUGAAGCGGGAAGAGCUCAAAUUUGAAAUCUUCAAGGUUCUACCUGACGAAUUGUAGUUUAAAGAAGUGUUUUCUGUUAGAGGAGUGGCAAAAGUUCUUUGGAAUAGGACAUCAUAGAGGGUGAGAAUCCCGUAUUUGUCAUUCUUUCUAGCUGUGUGAUACACUUUCAAAGAGUCGGAUUGUUUGGGAAUGCAGUCCAAAAUGGGUGGUAAAUUUCAUCUAAAGCUAAAUAUUGGCGAGAGACCGAUAGCGAACAAGUACCGUGAGGGAAAGAUGAAAAGAACUUUGAAAAGAGAGUUAAACAGUACGUGAAAUUGUCAAAGGGAGCGUUUGACACCAGUGUUGUUUUUCCGAAAAUCAAUUGUGCCUGGCUGGAUUUUGUAGGAGUUUGACCUUAUCAGCUUCUUCUGCUUUUUUCCGGUCUGGUGCAAUGCACUUUUCGGUUAACAAGUCAACAUCAAUUUCUUUUGUUGUAAAAGGGUAAUUGGAAGGUGGCUUCUUUUCGGAGAAAGUGUUUAUAGCCUUUUACCUCUACAAUCGGAGAGAUUGAGGUCUGCAGCGUAGAUCCUUCGGGGUUAGAUACAUUUGUGCUAAGUUAUAGCCUGUAUAGACAACUUGUUGACUAUACUCGGUCAUGUAGCUUACUCGCUUAUGCUAUUUUACCUACGCUUAGGAUGUUGAA